AUUUUAGGUGAAGGACUUGUGUCGUUGCACUAUUUCUAUGUGGUAAUUGGUAGCACGUUGGUCUUUCCGUCCACAGAGCUGGCAGUAUCAAGCAGGUGUGGUAGCGACACUGAAUGAACAGGGAGACGCAGCCCUUAAUGCAGUGCCUACGUACCUCCAGGCAAGUGACCUGGAGGACGCGGCAGCCUUGGCCAAGAGGGAACUGCGCUGGACCCUGGUCAGAACAAUGUCCACCACUGAGGAAGAUGAUAAUGGAAAUAACAGCACCUCUUAGAAGAAUGGUUGUGAAGUUUGUAUAUUAAAUAACAGUGGAAGGAAUUUUAUGAUGUUGCGUUAAUAUUAAUUGUGUUUUUAUAAACAGAUAUAUAUGUAUACAUGUAAGGAUUAUCAUGUGAAGUUGUCUUUUUGAUACAUGUUUCUUUGUCUCUUUGUCUUUUGUGGCAUUUGACUUGAUGUCAAAUGCAUUUUUGUUUUUUUUUACAGAUCUGUUGAUGUUAGAUGAUAUGUAUUGUAACAGAACUUGCCUUUUGUUUUUUAUUCAAUAACGUACACAAAUGAUCUAAAAUUCAGCUACAUUAUCAAGCCAGAAAUGUAACACACCACUAUAGUCAACAUAUACCACAGGUUGAGACUUUUAGUAUAAAAUAAAACAAAGUGAAAUUAAUUGAACCACAAAUCCAUAGAAAAUUACCUUCAGCAUAUUCACCACAAAAAAGCAGCCAUAACUGAUUGUCAUUGGCUGGCUUUCCCCUUGAAUCUCAUGUGUCUGGGCUUGAAAAGGGUCAGGGAUCCAAUUCAGAGCCUAGUUACAUACUCAGUAUUUCAUAGCUAUUUAUGAGGGAUUUACAUAAAGUAUAUAUAUUUAUAUCAUGUCCUUUUUUCUGUUUGGUGGAUAUGUUGAAGCUAAUAUGAUAUUGGGAAUGGCUGAUAUUGUAUGAUAAAUAAGCGGCUGUUUGUGUAUGGUAAAUAAGAUAUUUUUUGUUACAAAAUUAGGAUAACAUGUACUGAGACCCAAUAAUAAAUGCUGUUGCAAACAUU